rnacentral:tRNA from 14 species
AGCGUAGCUCAAUGGGUAGCGCGCUUGGUUCACGUGGACAAGGUCGUGGGUUCGAAUCCCAG